GGCUUGAUGAUAAUAAUUUCAAGUYUGGCCUGCCCAAUGAGAUUUUUAAAUGGCCGCAGUAUAUUGACUGUGCAAAGGUAGCAUAAUCAUUAGUUUUUUGAUUGAGAACUGGAAUGAAAGGUUUGAUGAAAAAAUAUCUGUCUCUAAAAAAAUUUAUUAGAAUUUUAUUUUUAAGUUAAAAAGCUUAAAUAUGUAUAGAAGACGAGAAGACCCUAUAGAGUUUUAUAUAUAUAGAAAAUUAAAUUUUUAAGAAAAAUAAUUUUUUGUUUUCUGUAAGUAUUUUGUUGGGGUGAUAGAAAAAUUUAAUAAACUUUUUUUUAAAAAGUACAUUAAUUUAUGAUUAAAUGAUCCUAAAAUUUAGAUUAUAAGAAAAAAUUACCUUAGGGAUAACAGCGUAAUUUUUUCUAGAGUUCUUAUCGAAAGAAAAGAUUGCGACCUCGAUGUUGGAUUAAAAUAAAUUUUUGGUGAAGAAGCUGGAAAAUUAGGUCUGUUCGACCUUUAAAAUUUUACAUGAUCUGAGUUUAAACCGGUGUGAG
rnacentral:rRNA from 1 species